GCAGUGCUCUGCUCGGGCUCUGGUGCUCGCGACCCGAGCGGCUGGGGGCUGGGACGCAGGAAGUGGAGAUCGCUGAAGCUAAAACAGGAACUCAGAGCUCACAGCGGCCCAAAAGCCAUCGCCUGCAUCAGGUGCCUGAGCCAAAAGCAGCGAGAUUUCCCAGCAGGAGCCGGGGAGGCUUUUAAGAUGUGGAAAGCUGUCGUGGGACACGAUGUGUCGGUGAAGGUUGAGACUCAGGGAGAUGACUGGGACACGGACCCUGAUUUUGUGGUGAGUGUCUGCUGUUGUUAUCCAUAACGUUAUCCAUGGUGGUGUGAAGGGCUCACUGGCCCUGGGCAUGUGCUGGUCCCCUGGGAUGGGGUUCGGCACCACCGGCUGUGUCCCACCAGCCCGUAAGGUCACAUCUCUAACCCAUUUCUGACCCAUAUCUGCAUUUGGUCUCUAGGACUUCCUGCAUCAGUCUACCCCACAUCUGACUACAAGUUACAGCACUUAGUAUAGAAUAUUUACUUUCUUUUAAACCUGCUCCCUGGUAACUUCACCGAGACCUCCCCACAACUUAUGUUACAAGAAAUAGCAAAGAUUUACAAUUUCUCUUUCCCACUGUAAUUGUAUGGGACUCCAACAUUGCACUCAGUUUGUCUUUUUUCCAGAUGGAAGAAUCCUGUUUUAUUUACAGUCCCCUUGUGCAGAGGCAGCUCCGUGCCUCUAAAUACCCUUGUGUUCUAUCUACUCAAUUCUCUAGGUGAGAUGAUGAGAGAAUAGAACAGCUCAGCCUGUGGGAACCCCAUGCAUCCGUACAGUAUCACGAUUUUCAUUUUCUGUUUGAUUCUCUGUUCCUUUCCUACUAUGUCACACUUUGGCACUUUGGCCAACUCUGUAUUUGCUACUCUUCUACGUAAUUGCACGUGAUUCCAUAUUUUGUAUUCCUCCUGGAGUGGUAAAUAUUUUUGACCCAUCACUGUGCAGAUAUAAUUAGGACUUUAUUUUUCCAUACACUUUACUUUUGUACUUAUUAACGCUAACCUUUACAAUUUUAUCACCCACUGAUUUGGCAUCAUCAGAUUUUUCUGCACUGCUUUGUCUCCUGUAUUUGGUUAACCUAAACAGCUCU
rnacentral:lncRNA from 1 species